CAGGAGUGUCAUAGACUUGUGAAGCCGAUUGAUGAUCUUCAUCAUUCUGAAACAAAGGGGGAGCAUCAGAGAGCCUUGCACCAGCAGAUCCUCAGGCAAGACAGGACUGCCCCAAGAGACUACUAAGGGUAUAAACCACAUUAUGUCAUGGGUAAUUCUUUCCUCCUGGAUAAUUAAAAGUCUUUUUAUGGACCAAUCUGCCUCCGAAGAAGAAUGUCAGGGAUAAAUCAGAGCAAUGCCAGGGAUUUCUUGCAAACAGCUGAAGCCAGCUUUCUAGCAGCAGAGGAGCACAAGAGCAGCUGACAUCAACACAGCUCUGGCAUCCUCUUCUCACAUUGCACAAUAAAUCCUCCUCUGUGGUGGCAGGGAGGAAAAGAGGACAAUGUCUGGAGUGAUGUUACUUACAAGAGGAUUCCUUCCACAUGGGACAUGGAUAUUGCUGUUCAUCCAAGCCAUACCACUGCCAGGGCUCAAAUACCACCUGUAAUGGUGAAUUGUCCUCCCAAAUACAAUUAGAAUUUAAUCAUACUCAGAAACAACUGCUUCCUAGAUUUCAGGCCAGCGCUGGAAACAGCUACUUAGACAUCUGAUUUACAGGGAAAGAAAGUAUUAGCUUGUAUGUUCUAAAGCUUGCCAGUCUAAAGUCCUUAUGCAAACUCAUACCAGAUAGGGUAGUCCCAUUGGAAAGCUGAAGUGAUGGAGAUCUGGAUAUAGAGAAGACAGAAGACCACCCUCUGCUUUGGGAAGCUCUGAAGUGUGUAAAACUGAGUUCAAAAGAUGUGCUGUUCUCCAGGUGGUGGGAAGCGUGCGAGCCCUAGGCUGUGCUUAGCUACAGCCCUGCAUUUCCCUCAAGAGGAGGAUUUGGGAAGAAGCUCAAGGACUCCAGUUCUCAUCACUGGUGCGAGCUCUGCUCUCCACAGGAGUGGCAGGAGUGCAGGAGGCUGAGGGCACCAU